rnacentral:rRNA from 1 species
GACGAACGCUGGCGGCGUGCUUAACACAUGCAAGUCGAACGGAAAGGCCCCUUUGGGGGUACUCGAGUGGCGAACGGGUGAGUAACACGUGAGUAACCUGCCCUUGACUUCGGGAUAACUUCAGGAAACUGGGGCUAAUACCGGAUAGGAAUCCUUGCUGCAUGGUGGGGGUUGGAAAGCUUCGGCGGUUUUGGAUGGACUCGCGGCUUAUCAGCUUGUUGGUGGGGUAGUGGCUUACCAAGGCUUUGACGGGUAGCCGGCCUGAGAGGGCGACCGGCCACAUUGGGACUGAGAUACGGCCCAGACUCCUACGGGGGGCAGCAGGGGGGAAUAUUGCACAAUGGGCGGAAGCCUGAUGCAGCAACGCCGCGUGCGGGAUGACGGCCUUCGGGUUGUAAACCGCUUUCAGCAGGGGCGAAGCUUGUGGUGACGGUACCUGCAGAAGAAGCACCGGCUAACUACGUG